AAUUAAAAUAAAUAAAAAAAUGCUCCCAGUUUUCGCAACAGAGUUCCUAAGGAAAUCUGUUUAGGAAUCUACAAUCUGCACCUAUAGAAGUGAUGUCACGCCACUGAAAGUGAUGUCACGCACACUCUGCAUGUGACCUCACUUCCGCACCAUAGGUGGCGCAUUUAGGUUUACUGCCUAGGGUGUCUUCGGAUUUAAAUGCAACCCUGGUGGUAGCUCUCUUGUUCCCCUGCAUCAAAAGCACAACUGUGUGUUAUUUGGAACAGGAGGCAGACAGGACUGAGCGGCACUGAGUGCAACUAUAUGAAAAUGCAAGGAGUACCUUUUAAUGAAAGUGCUUUUAAUUAAUGGAAUUUUUUUGCAACUGACUGCAACUGCACUAGCAGUUGUAAAUGACCCCCAGUAAUUUUGUACAAUACAGUGUCACUGAAUCAUGUAACAAUUAGGCACCAUUUACUAAUGCUAUAACACAAGAGCCAUAAAUAUCCCAUAAAACAUAUCCUCAUUAAUACUGCUUAGUAAUAUAAUUAGUGUCACAUGACUCCAUGCAACUUGUGUAGGAGAAAGUACAACUAAGGGGGUUCCCAGAACAGAAUGCCCAUGCUCUGUGCUUUCAGACCUUAUGUAUUCUCACACAUAUAUACUGUAAUUUUCAGCAUCUUUUUGUUGAUUGAAGCCCAGAAUGUGUGACCCUAGUGUUGGGCCCAGUCAUUACGUGACUAACGCUCUCAGUGAGGCACAUACAUUGGGAAGGGCUGUGCCCUGGCUGCACAAAAACACACUCAUUGCUCUCAUGCAAUACAGCAGUGUUACAUGACACCAGUCUGAACCAGCUGCUCUCUCCCCUGGGAUGUUCUCUCUAUAGAAAACUACUCUCGAGAUCUGCCCGCCCACCAAAAGCCCCUUUUCACUAGCCCCCCCCCUCCCCCAUUUCACAGCACAUGGUGGGGUAUUAUUGCAUCCUGCCAGGGGGUUGCACUCAUUCACUCAUCAUCUAUGUGCCAGGAAGAACUCCCAGCAGAGGUAGCAGUCUGGCUGUUGAUCCUGUGAAGGGAACAAACAAACAAGGGGGGACCUGGGUACCGCUGGACCAUUUCUAGCUGUGGUUACUGUGCACCAAAACACCAGAAGUUUCAUCCGUUAAAUGAAGGUACCAUUUACCUCUGCAGUUCUCCUCCUUCUUUCUCCUUAAAUAAGAAAGUCUCCAUGUCGGACAUCAUGAACUGCAGCGAUACUUCCCGACUGAGAAGUCUUCUGACUCAGCUCCUUCAGGAACUUGGCAAGGCCAACAGCACCAGUGCCCCGGUUGAAGAGGAUAACAAUGAUGCGUACAUGUAUAUUCUGCUCAUCAUGAUCUUCUAUGGAUUCCUGGCAGGGGGCCUUAUAAUGGCCUAUACCAGAUCCAGAAAGCAGGAGUCCAAAAACGACCCUUACCACCUUUACAUAGAAAGUGAAUGGGGUACAAAAGCCAAGAAUAUGACCACUGCUAUGGAUUACCAGCCAAGGGGCAGUAUAGAAAGUGAACAGUUAUUAUGAAGAAGUUACUUUGACACAAACAACGACAUGAUGCACCUCAGUCCUUAAAGAAAUGGAAAGACCUUCUUUUGAUUUGCAUCAGAGGGGGAUACCAAGUGGAAAUAUUUGCAGUUCACUGCAAAAAACUGGGCUCAGAACUGCCUAUACACAGAAUUAAUGCAAUGAUACUAUGUAUUCUGUAAAACAAAAUGCAUGACCCAAAUGCAUAUACAUGGUUGCUGCACGUAUGGCUGUAUGCACACUACCCAGUUGGAUAAUAUUGUAGGGCUUCCAGUUGUAGAGAUUAGCAAGGAGUUCCCAGACUUACAUUAUAAGUUAACUCCUUCCUGGGUAUCUGGGUCUACCCAGAGCCAGGAAUAAACAUUUUAUAGUAUUGCUUGCAUGGACUUUCUCUCUCUCAAAACAUACAUGUUUUAUGGCUGAAAAUCAAGCUAUUUUAAUAUCAGUGAACAGGGGCCUGCAAUGUCAUCCUUAACCCACUGCCUUUAUUAUAAAUUGCUGUAGGAUUUGGAUAUCUGGAUUUAUUUGUUGGGGUUGUUGAAAAAAUAAGUACUGCUUGCUAAAUGUAUUUAUUGCAACACAGAAAUGUCCGUGCCAAGAGAUACCAGCUCUCUUAUCUUCAAAUGAAAAGCUAAAUGAAUAGGCAAAUUAUAUAUAUUGUAAGCAAGGUACAGACAAGCCUACCAACAUCAGUUCUGAUAGUCUGAGCUAACUGAUUGGUAGGCUGAAAUCAUUCUAUAGGAUUCUUGCAUUUGUAACUUGAUGACUCGAUGUGGGCGCUUUGGUCAAUACAAAAUGCUGGAACCCCAACCCCUGGUAAUGAUACUAAAGAAAAUGCAGAGCUUGUCUAAAUUUAUUUUUGCUUUUUGUUUAGCUACAUAGUCACACUGAAACACUGAAUUACUUAUCAUAUAGAAGGGAGGAUUAUGCAGAGAUACAGUAUUGCUUUCAUUUAGUGGGAAAAUGAUCUAUGAUGAGAGUGAAGGGGACACAGAGUGGGAGGACUAGUAAGUAUCCUGUAUGGAGCUGUAUACAGUUUCCACAUUGCAUUUCUGUAUUUAAGUCUGACGUCCUCUUUACAAGUCUGCAUUUAGUACAUGCCUUCUAACAAUCCAAACCAUGCAUGAACUGUGUGGAGCGAAGGUCUUUGAAGUCACCCUCAAGCUCUGUAUUCAUAAAGCACAGGCACACAACACCCAGUAGUGCUUAGGGGCACUACUACAUUUUGCCCCUAUUUAUGAUAUAGUGUUUAUCAAUCCUAUGUUGUCACCUUAAAGGGAUUGUUCACCUUUGAAAUACAUUUGAGUAUAAUUUAGAGAAGACUAAUUUGUUAUUUAUUUGUGUGUUUUUUAAUUAGCUUUUUUUUUUUUUAGCUUUUUUCAAUAGCUCUCCAUUUUUAAUUUCAGCAGCUAUCUGGUUGCAAGGGUCCAGACAACCCUAGCAACCAAGCAGUGGUGAUAUGAAGUGGGGAGGGCCUGACUAGAAAGAUAAAUAAUAAAAAGUAAGAAUAACAAUAAAAUUGCAGCCUCACAGAGCAAUAAUUUUUUGACUGCCAAGGUCAAUGACCCCCAUUUGAAAUCUUGAAAUAGACAGAAGGAGACAAAUAAAGUUGCUAAGCAUUGUCCAUUCUGUAACAUACUAAAAAGUAACUUAAAGGUGAACAACCCCUUUAAAACAAAAGAGUGGACAUUUAAGAAGUGGACAUUUUUGCUUUUUACAUAGAAUUCCCUGUACAUAGCAUGUGGUUUUGCCUAUUCACUGUCUGUCACGACUUCUGUCAUAAAUCUGUGCAUAAAUCUCAUUCUAAAUGGCUCCAUAACACAAAAAUUUACUUUUUUGUAAGGGUGGGGACCUACAGAAUGCGAGUUUAUUUUGCAAAUGAUUCUUUCAUGAUCUAUAAAAUGUAUGUUGCUCUUUAUACAACAAAAAAAACAGUGCAGUUUAUAAUCUCCUGUUGCUGUAUAAGGAGUUCCCUAAAAGUGCUUUGGCUGUAUUGUUUCUGUUUUCUUUCUGUCAAUGAGAUGGUGAGGCAUUUAUUGUCGCCAUCGACAUGCUCAGUUACUCACAAAUACUGACAAGUUAAACUA